GAUGAACGCUGGCGGCGUGCCUAAUACAUGCAAGUCGAGCGAACAGACGAGGAGCUUGCUCCUCUGACGUUAGCGGCGGACGGGUGAGUAACACGUGGAUAACCUACCUAUAAGACUGGGAUAACUUCGGGAAACCGGAGCUAAUACCGGAUAAUAUAUUGAACCGCAUGGUUCAAUAGUGAAAGACGGUUUUGCUGUCACUUAUAGAUGGAUCCGCGCCGCAUUAGCUAGUUGGUAAGGUAACGGCUUACCAAGGCAACGAUGCGUAGCCGACCUGAGAGGGUGAUCGGCCACACUGGAACUGAGAACCGGUCCAGACUCCUACGGGAGGAAGCGGUAGGGAAUCUUCCGCAAUGGGCGAAAGCCUGACGGAGCAACGCCGCGUGAGUGAUGAAGGUCUUCGGAUCGUAAAACUCUGUUAUUAGGGAAGACCAAAUGUGUAAGUAACUAUGCACGUCUUGACGGUAACUAAUCAGAAAGCCACGGCUAACUACGUG
rnacentral:rRNA from 1 species